rnacentral:rRNA from 1 species
UAGAGGAAGUAAAAGUCGUAACAAGGUUUCCGUAGGUGAACCUGCGGAAGGAUCAUUAUUGAAUAAACCUGCACAGGCUGUUGCUGGUCCCCUCCUCUGAGGUGGACAUGUGCACGCUUGUCAUCUUUAUCUCUCCAACUGUGCACACAUUGUAGACCUGAGAUUCCUGAUUGACAUUCGAGUUGGGACUGCUGCGCUUUUUUGAGGCCAGCUUUGCCUUGCAUCUCCAGGUCUAUGUCAUUUUCACAAACCUCCAAAUUUGUCUAGAAUGUUGAAUCAGGUCAUUUUUUUGUACCUAUAAAAAGUUAUAUAUACAACUUUCAGCAACGGAUCUCUUGGCUCUCGCAUCGAUGAAGAACGCAGCGAAAUGCGAUAAGUAAUGUGAAUUGCAGAAUUCAGUGAAUCAUCGAAUCUUUGAACGCAUCUUGCGCUCCUUGGUCAUUCCGAGGAGCAUGCCUGUUUGAGUGUCAUCUAAAGUUCUCAACCACACUUGAUUCUUUUCUGGUGUGGCUUGGACAAUGGGGGUUUUAUAUUUGCAGGCCUCAGCAAAUGAGGUCAGCUCCCCUGAAAUGAAUUAGUAGUAUCUGAGCAGAAAAACUACCACAGGUGUGAUUAAUUUAUCUAUGCCUUGGUGUGCUGCAUGAACAGAUUGCGCUGCUUACAACAAAAGUGGGAUGCCACAUUUGAUAAAUUUGACCUCAAAUCAGGUAGGACUACCCGCUGAACUUAAGC